rnacentral:rRNA from 1 species
CGAUUUGAUGCAAGGUUAAGCAGUAAAUGUGGAGCCGUAGCGAAAGCGAGUCUGAAUAGGGCGUUUAGUAUUUGGUCGUAGACCCGAAACCAGGUGAUCUACCCUUGGUCAGGUUGAAGUUCAGGUAACACUGAAUGGAGGACCGAACCGACUUACGUUGAAAAGUGAGCGGAUGAACUGAGGGUAGCGGAGAAAUUCCAAUCGAACCUGGAGAUAGCUGGUUCUCUCCGAAAUAGCUUUAGGGCUAGCCUCAAGUGAUGAUUAUUGGAGGUAGAGCACUGUUUGGACGAGGGGCCCCUCUCGGGUUACCGAAUUCAGACAAACUCCGAAUGCCAAUUAAUUUAACUUGGGAGUCAGAACAUGGGUGAUAAGGUCCGUGUUCGAAAGGGAAACAGCCCAGACCACCAGCUAAGGUCCCAAAAUAUAUGUUAAGUGGAAAAGGAUGUGGCGUUGCCCAGACAACUAGGAUGUUGGCUUAGAAGCAGCCAUCAUUUAAAGAGUGCGUAAUAGCUCACUAGUCGAGUGACACUGCGCCGAAAAUGUACCGGGGCUAAACAUAUUACCGAAGCUGUGGAUUGUCCUUUGGACAA